CCUACGGGCGGCAGCAGUGGGGAAUAUUGCACAAUGGGCGCAAGCCUGAUGCAGCCAUGCCGCGUGUGUGAAGAAGGCCUUCGGGUUGUAAAGCACUUUCAGCGGGGAGGAAGGCGGUGAGGUUAAUAACCUCAUCGAUUGACGUUACCCGCAGAAGAAGCACCGGCUAACUCCGUGCCAGCAGCCGCGGUAAUACGGAGGGUGCAAGCGUUAAUCGGAAUUACUGGGCGUAAAGCGCACGCAGGCGGUCUGUCAAGUCGGAUGUGAAAUCCCCGGGCUCAACCUGGGAACUGCAUUCGAAACUGGCAGGCUAGAGUCUUGUAGAGGGGGGUAGAAUUCCAGGUGUAGCGGUGAAAUGCGUAGAGAUCUGGAGGAAUACCGGGGGCGAAGGCGGCCCCCUGGACAAAGACUGACGCUCAGGUGCGAAAGCGUGGGAGCAAACAGGAUUAGAUACCCCGGUAGUC
rnacentral:rRNA from 1 species